rnacentral:misc_RNA from 1 species
AUGGGCGGUCGACAGCUGGAAAUCCAAGAAUGCCCUCCAGCUCCCUGACUACCCCGACAAAGUAGAGCUCGACUCCGUCCUCCGCACCAUUGAGAGCUUCCCCCCCAUCGUCUUCGCCGGCGAGGCCCGCCACCUCGAGGACCGCCUCGCCGAUGCCGCCGUUGGCAAGGCCUUCCUCCUCAUGGGAGGCGACUGCGCUGAGAGCUUCAAAGAGUUCCACGCCAACAACAUCCGUGACACCUUCCGCAUCAUCCUCCAGAUGGGCGCCGUCCUCAUGUUCGGAGGCCAAAUGCCCGUCAUCAAGGUUGGCCGGAUGGCAGGACAAUUCGCAAA